rnacentral:rRNA from 1 species
AUUGAACGCUGGCGGCAGGCCUAACACCUGCAAGUCGAACGGUAGCACAGAGAGCUUGCUCUCGGGCGACGAGUGGCGGACGGGUGAGUAACGUCUGGGAAACUGCCCGAUGGAGGGGGAUAACUACUGGAAACGGUAGCUAAUACCGCAUAACGUCGCAAGACCAAAGUGGGGGACCUUCGGGCCUCACACCAUCGGAUGUGCCCAGAUGGGAUUAGCUAGUAGGUGGGGUAAUGGCUCACCUAGGCGACGAUCCCUAGCUGGUCUGAGAGGAUGACCAGCCACACUGGAACUGAGACACGGUCCAGACUCCUACGGGAGGCAGCAGUGGGGAAUAUUGCACAAUGGGCGCAAGCCUGAUGCAGCCAUGCCGCGUGUAUGAAGAAGGCCUUCGGGUUGUAAAGUACUUUCAGCGGGGGGGAAGGCGGUGAAGUUAAUAGCUUCACCGAUUGACGUUACCCGCAGAAGAAGCACCGGCUAACUCCGUGCCAGCCGCCGCCGUAA